AUUGAACGCUGGCGGCAUGCCUUACACAUGCCAGUCGAACGGUAACAGGUCUUCGGAUGCUGACGAGUGGCGAACGGGUGAGUAAUACAUCGGAACGUGCCCAGACGUGGGGGAUAACGAGGCGAAAGCUUUGCUAAUACCGCAUACGAUCUAAGGAUGAAAGCAGGGGACCGCAAGGCCUUGUGCGUUUGGAGCGGCCGAUGGCAGAUUAGGUAGUUGGUGGGAUAAAAGCUUACCAAGCCGACGAUCUGUAGCUGGUCUGAGAGGACGACCAGCCACACUGGGACUGAGACACGGCCCAGACUCCUACGGGAGGCAGCAGUGGGGAAUUUUGGACAAUGGGCGAAAGCCUGAUCCAGCAAUGCCGCGUGCAGGAUGAAGGCCUUCGGGUUGUAAACUGCUUUUGUACGGAACGAAAAGGCUCUGGCUAAUACCUGGGGCACAUGACGGUACCGUAAGGAUAAGCACCGGCUAACUACGUG
rnacentral:rRNA from 1 species